UGAUAUCAACAAUACUAUCUGGAGCAAAUCAUAAAUAUAAAAGUAAACAAAACAAGCAGGAUGUGCAAAGUUUAUGUUAAAUUUAGUCACGAUGCAGCAUCAUGUUUUAAAUUAGUUCCGAAACGAGUCUAGAUUGUCUCGCAGAGGUGGAUUGACAGUGGAGAGUGGAGCGUGAAUUAAAGAAUUGACUACCAAGAUGAAGAGGGGGCGCAAGGUUGCCGAACGUUUGUUCCGUCACGUGAAUCUGUUCUUGUAGGCGUUUUCAUGAGGUUUGAUUUGUUGAAAUAAAACGCAUUUUAGUUUAGAUUUUCCAA